rnacentral:misc_RNA from 1 species
GAUGAAGAACGUAGUGAAAUGCGAUACGUAAUGUGAAUUGCAGAAUUCAGUGAAUCAUCGAAUCUUUGAACGCAUAUUGCGCUCUCUGGUAUUCCGGAGAGCAUGCUUGUUUGAGUAUCAGUAAACACCUCAACUUCCAUAUCUUUUUUGAAAUGGGAGUUGGACUUGAGUGAUCCCAACGCUUUUCCUCACCGAAAAGUGGCGGGUUACUUGAAAUGCAGGUGCAGCUGGACUUUUCUCUGAGCUAUAAGCAUAUCAAUAAGCGGAGGA